UAUUGUUCUUGGCCUCCUUUUGUGCCCUGGGUUUCUUCUGACCUCGGAUACUGACCCCACCGCAACAUAACAAUGGUUUCUGUGACCUAGUGUUUCCUUCGACGGUUAUCUCGACCACUUGAGGAUUCACCGGCCGGGUUUUUCCCUAGCCUGUUUUCCGAUUUCCUUGUGUUACAUGUGACAUAAGCACUUAAAUAAGUAUCGAACCGUGGUCAUACAGAGUGGUCUUCUUGAAAUUGCAACUAGUUCCAGUGCUGACGACAAGAUGGGACGCAAGCGAAAACUGCCCUGCGACUACGUCAAGUAGUACCCUGAUUCCGAGGAGUUCACAUCGUCCCUCGAACGCGAUGCAGAGGUUGUCCUAUGGCCACUGUGCAGAGAGCAGUGAACAGGUCAACCUUUCCGUGUCAGAGGGGAGAAUCACAAAGGCGAGCAGAACGCGCCCUUGAAAGUAGCGACCUUGACAUGGCUCGGAGCACUGAACCUCGCCGCAACUGCCUUCAAGGCCACCGAGCCUUCGUUCGUCCUCCCCAUUCACUGGCCUUCAGCGUGACCCCUCUUUCUGUAACUCUGCGUUGCACGUAAGUACAGUACAAGCUCGCGGAAUGUGGCCGAUGACCAGAAAGGUGUGCAGACGACAAGUGACCUUCUCACGUUACUUCCCGAGCGUCAAAGAAUAUGGACUAUAUGUGCGAGUUGAAAUGAUGUCUGCCUGGCUUUCGUCCGACUGACUGGUGGCAGACGUCCAGAACGCGGACUAGACUAAAAGCAUUCGCUUUGUGGGAGUCCUCGAUCAAGACCUUCGCCUCUACGUGAAAACAUGUAGAAGUUUUGUCUGCACAAAUUCAAUGCGCAUUCAAAGCCCAUGCCGCAUUAUUGCUGUAAUAGGUUCUAAAUGCCAGGGUCUGCGUGUUUAAAUUGUGUUGGGGUAAAUCUGUAGCGUAACCUACUGAGUGUCUGCACUGGCGAGCAAUCUGUGAACCUGUAUUUCGUUGAAAGUGCAGCGCAGGAAAACCAGGGAGGAAAAACAAAAAGAGAGCGCAAUAAAGGCGUAGUUCGUGAGUUUUCAUACAAUGAAGGGAAAAUCGAACGCGUGUACUACGCGAUGACACAACCCGUGUAUUCGGCACGUUUCAGUGAACUAUGUUAGAAUGUGGUCAUAACCAUUUACACUGCCAUUUUUCUGGACAUAAAUGUGUGAGCCUCGCCCGUCUA